CUUCUCCCCACCUCCUCACCCAGCCUCUGGUAGCCAUCAUUCUACUCUCUACUUCUUUUUUUGAGGAACUUCCAUUCAGUUUCCCAUAAUGGCUGUGAGUCUGGAGUUUGUUCCUGCCGGUGGGUUCGUGGUCUCGCUGACUUCAAGAAUGAAGCUGCAGACGUUCGUGAGGAGAAAGCUGAAGCACCAGAUGGUUAAAAGGACUGUUCAAGACAGCCUUGCAAUUUUGACCAAGGAAGAAAGCUGAAGAGUGCUAGGGCAAGAGAGGAACUACGUCCAGAACAAUUCAUAAUUCCAAAUUCUCACUUCCAUGAUUUCAAUGCUGAAUGUGUACUUCUCUAGCUAAAAAUACAAUUGCUUAAGUAAAAUCAUCAUUAUUUACAGUCUUGCUGAAUUGUGGUGUUGUUAUUAACCAGAAACAACAGCUUAAGUCAUUGUGUUUUGAAAUACUUGAUUUAUUAUCCUGAUUGUUUGAAAAUGCUACCUGAAAUUUUUCCUGGCACUUUUGAGUCAUUCUCACCAGGUACACACAUCUGGUGUUUCUCCAUGACACAGUAGCUGUUCCCCCUUUAAUUUCUUUCUUCUUCCUAACAGACACUGGAGUUAUAAUAUCAAACUUCCAUUCAUGAUGAAUAUUUGAACUACCAUGGAGACUGAGAGUCCAGGGAAGAAAAUAUGUCCUGUUGAUAUGUAUCUCAAUGCAUCUUCCUUUCUAUCUUCUUCCUGGGGCAGCCUCACAUAUAAUUCAG
rnacentral:lncRNA from 10 species